AUGGGUCGGUCGUCACAAGGGGGACUCCUCUUUCGUCUUGGAUUUCGGUUGCCUAGCUGCUUCGGCAGCGCGGUCGUUUUCUCUAGCCAUUUUCCUAAAAAUGGCAGUGCGCUGCGCUUUCAACGUGGCCCGAAGGUGUGGCUCCAUCUACUUGCAUACGGGAAGGAGCUAGACAGACACCGAUGGAGACGGCGAGCAUCUCGGUUGGUUUCGAUGGGGAUAGGAUGUGUUGCAUCGCGAGUAUGCUUGUUGGUUCCGGAUGAACGCGAGCUGCUCAAGGAUAAUGCCCCUGCUCCAAAUCCUGAGGAGGAGGACCUGGCUCCCCGUGUCGCUGGUGGUGGUAAGGGGACCCCCUUCUCUGGUGUUUGCUCCAAUGUGCCUACUCGCCCGCAGUCUCCGUCCUUCUCUGGGAUUGAGGAUCUUCCCGCUUCCUCCAUGCGCUCCAUCGAGCCCUUAACUAAGAAGAAGAAGAAGUCUUCGGUCCAGAAAUUCUCGGCUAAGAGUCGGGCCUCCUCUACUUCCAAGCUUUCGGCGGCGGGUCUGACCUGUCGUCUGAACAAGGAUCUGGGCUCCGCCUCGGGGUCUGGCCCCGGGCCGGCGUCGCCGGUCCGGUGCUCCCCUAUGCUCCAAUCUCCGGCGUCCACGGCGCGGAAGGGACGGCGCGUGCGCGAUUCUGGCGUUUCGGUGGCGGUGCGGGCGGAACGGCGUGCCGCGUCCAGGGAUCUCCCUCCUACAGCCCUAUCACAUGAUCAUUUGUUUCAUAUCAUGUCUGAUAUUGGGGUGGCGGCUAUACCGGGGAUGGGCUCUCCUUCUCACCUCCUCUCUGUCAUUAGGGCCAACGAGGCAGCCCAGGCUGCUAUUGCUAAGGCCGUGGAGGCCGCGAAGGGUGCUGCCCUGCUGGUGCUCAGGGCCAGGCCGGGGGCUUUAUUCUGGAAUAUUCGUGGUUUCGGUGCUAGGGGGCGCCGGGACCAGAUUCAUGACUUGGUUUGUGGUGAACAUAUUGACAUCUUAGGGUUGGUCGAAACGUUUAAGGAAUCUUUCUCCCCUUCUGAACUAUCUGUGAUAGCUGGGAUGGAUAGUAAUUGCGCGCUUCGUGAGCUCCCUAGGGUGGGGGCGCGAUUCACCUGGUCUAACCAUCAAUCCUCGCCUGUCUGGUCGGUGGUGGAUAGGGUUUUUGUUUCUGAUCAAUGGGAUUCGCUGUUUCCCCAUGCGCUACUGAAGGCCAGGCCUGCGGUGGGCUCUGACCAUGUUCCCCUGAUCCUGGAUGCUGGUAUCCUUUCUAUUGUCUCUCCCUCCCGUUUCCAGUUUGAUGCGUCUUGGCUCGUUGUUGAGGGUUUUUGUGACAUGAUGGUCUCUAAGAUUACUAAUCUCCUAGCUUCUCCUCAUCGCUCCUUUGGCCCCAUGGAUGAUUGGCCCAAGUUGUCUUAUGAGCUUCGUAAAUUCUUGAGGGGGUGGUCUCGGAAUAGGACAGCCGAGCUGCGUAGAGACAAAGAGUCCCUUGAAUCUCAAAUCCGGGAUUUGGACCAAUCUGCUGACACAUCUGGGCUCUCCGCCUCUCAGUGGGCCACUCGCUACUCCCUGGAAGACGCUUUGAUGGUGCUUCACCAUCAACGCCGCAGAUGCUUCAUUGACACUCUGUUGAUUGACGACGUUAGAAUUUCGGACCAAUCCCUCAUCAUGAAUCACAUUGUUAGCUUCUAUUCCAAUCUACUCGGCUCUAAGCCGGACCCUGGGUUUGGCCUCUGCUCUGACUUCUGGGAUGAGGGAACUAAGAUCUCUUCGGGCGAAAAUUCGGGCCUGAUGGUCCCCUUAUCUGACGAAGAGAUCUGGCAGAUUAACUUCGCCAAGAGUGAAGUGGUUGUGACUGGUGUCGAUGAGUCGGAAGCCGCGCGAGUGGCCCACCUUCUUAAGUGUAAGCUGGGCUCCUAUCCGUUCAAGUACUUGGGUUUGCCUAUUUCCCCGGAUGUGCUUCAUGCCAAAGAUUUUGCCCCGGUGGUCACAAAGGUGGGGAACAGGGUCCUUCCCUGGCGGGGUAGAUAUAAUACGAAUGCGGGUAAAGUGGCUCUAAUUAAUGCUUGCCUCUCCUCCCUCCCCAAGUUCCUUAUGGGCUUCUAUCUCUUUUCAGCUGGGAUUCAUGCUGGUUUUGAUAAACACCGUGGGGCGUUCUACUGGAAUGCAGCGGACAAUCGUCGCAAAUAUCGCUUCGUCAAAUGGAAAUUGAUGUAUAGGCCCAAAAACCUUGGGGGGUUAGGAAUUCUUAAUACUUCCAUCAUGAAUCAAUGCUUGAUGAUUAAAUGGUGGUGGAAGAUUAUGAGUGCUGAGGAUCAACCCCUUUGGUUGUCGAUCCUUCAGGCUAAAUAUUUUCCGUCUUCGAGCCCGAUGUUUGCCUUGCCGCGUGGUGGCUCUCAGUUCUGGAAGUCUCUGGUCAAAGUUAGACCUGUUUUUCAAUCUUUCGUUAAGUUUGUUGUUGGGGACGGAUCCUCGAUUAGGUUUUGGCUUGACUGGUGGUGUGGAGAUUCACCUCUCUCGGUGACCUUCCCUACCCUUUUCUCUUACUGCUCUGAUCCCAAUAUUUCGAUUGCGAAGCUUGCGUCCAAGGGGUGGAACCUGGCCUUUCGUCGCUCUCUGUCGCCUGUAGAGUUUGAAGAUUGGCAACGUCUUACUGCCCUCUUCCCAACGCUCUCGACGGUCGGGGAUUCGGUGCUUUGGCCGCUUUCAGCCUCUGGGCGUUUUUCUGUUAAGUCUCUUUAUUCUAAGCUUGUUGGUGGCACGUCUACCAAUCGUUUUUCCCAAAUUUGGAAGGCCCGUAUUCCCCCUAAGAUUAAAAUCUUCUUGUGGCAAGCUUUCCGAGGCCGGUUGCCCUCGGCUGAUCAAAUCCUUUGUUUGGAGUUGCGUGAGGGACUGGCUCGUGUCUCUUGGGCCCCUGCCUCCUUUGCCGAGUUGCACAGCUUAGCCUCCAACCUCGCCGGUGUAUCUAGGCGCAUCUUUUGGGUGGGCUUGGGGGCUUUAUGCUGGUCUCUGUGGACAACUAGGAACAAAUUUACUAUUGAGCAUGUGUUUCCGACUAAACCGGCCGACUGCUUAUUUAAAUCGUGUGCUUUCCUGCAGCAGUGGAAAUCAUUGACUAAGGUCGACGACCAAGAGGCGCUCUCUAUGCUGAUCGGCAAAGUCCGGACGACGGCGUCUCAGUUAUGCAGACAAGAGCAGGAUGCUUGA
rnacentral:rRNA from 1 species